rnacentral:rRNA from 1 species
CCUACGGGAGGCAGCAGUGGGGAAUCUUAGACAAUGGGCGCAAGCCUGAUCUAGCCAUGCCGCGUGAGUGAUGAAGGCCUUAGGGUCGUAAAGCUCUUUCGCCUGUGAUGAUAAUGACAGUAGCAGGUAAGGAAACCCCGGCUAACUCCGUGCCAGCAGCCGCGGUAAUACGGAGGGGGUUAGCGUUGUUCGGAAUUACUGGGCGUAAAGCGCACGUAGGCGGAUUAGAAAGUUAGGGGUGAAAUCCCGGGGCUCAGCCUCGGAACUGCCUCUAAAACUCCUAGUCUAGAGUUCGAGAGAGGUGAGUGGAAUUCCAAGUGUAGAGGUGAAAUUCGUAGAUAUUUGGAGGAACACCAGUGGCGAAGGCGGCUCACUGGCUCGAUACUGACGCUGAGGUGCGAAAGUGUGGGGAGCAAACAGGAUUAGAUACCCUGGUAGUCCACACCGUAAACGAUGAAUGCCAGUCGUCGGCAAGUAUACUUGUCGGUGACACACCUAACGGAUUAAGCAUUCCGCCUGGGGAGUACGGUCGCAAGAUUAAAACUCAAAGGAAUUGACGGA